CUUGAUCGAACCGAGCCACAGGGGCUGGUCGGCAUCGCGGUCGCGGCCGUAGGUCGCGAGCAGCGCCUGGGCCUC
rfam:Streptomyces albulus strain NK660, complete genome.